AUCCCCCCUCUUUGGAAGAGCUUUAUAGCUCCUGCUGUCUUAAGAAAGUUCAAAACUUUCUCAGAGAUCUAUCUCAUCCUGAGAACCCUUUGUUUCAACUAUUACCAUCUGGCAGAUGGUACAGAAUAAUAAAAAUAAAGACAAAUUGGCGGAAAAACAUCUUCUAUCCCAGGGCAGUAGCUCUUUUGAAUUCUGCUGCA